GUAGCAAUACCUUGAUGGCGACCGGCGCACGGGUGAGUAACGCGUAUGCAACCUGCCCGAUACCGGGGUAUAGCCCCAUGGAAACGUGGAUUAACACCCCAUAGUACUUUUAUCCUGCAUGGGAUGUGAGUUAAAUGUUUAAGGUAUCGGAUGGGCAUGCGUCCUAUUAGUUAGUUGGCGGGGUAACAGCCCACCAAGACGAUGAUAGGUAGGGGUUCUGAGAGGAAGGUCCCCCACAUUGGAACUGAGACACGGUCCAAACUCCUACGGGAGGCAGCAGUGAGGAAUAUUGGUCAAUGGACGAGAGUCUGAACCAGCCAAGUCGCGUGAGGGAAGACUGCCCUAUGGGUUGUAAACCUCUUUUAUAAGGGAAGAAUAAGUUCUACGUGUAGAAUGAUGCCUGUACCUUAUGAAUAAGCAUCGGCUAACUCCGUGCCAGCAGCCGCGGUAAUACGGAGGAUGCGAGCGUUAUCCGGAUUUAUUGGGUUUAAAGGGUGCGUAGGCGGUUUAUUAAGUUAGUGGUUAAAUAUUUGAGCUAAACUCAAUUGUGCCAUUAAUACUGGUAAACUGGAGUACAGACGAGGUAGGCGGAAUAAGUUAAGUAGCGGUGAAAUGCAUAGAUAU
rnacentral:rRNA from 1 species